rnacentral:rRNA from 1 species
GUGGGGAAUCUUCCGCAAUGGACGAAAGUCUGACGGAGCGACGCCGCGUGAGUGAAGAAGGCCUUCGGGUCGUAAAGCUCUGUCAUCAGGGACGAACGGCCGGUGGAGUGGAAAGCCACCGGAUUGACGGUACCUGAGAAGGAAGCCACGGCUAACUACGUGCCAGCAGCCGCGGUAAUACGUAGGUGGCAAGCGUUGUCCGGAAUUAUUGGGCGUAAAGCGCGCGCAGGUGGGAUCUUAAGUCCAUUUUUAAAGGUCGGAGCUCAACUCCGUGAUGGGAUGGAAACUGGGAUUCUUGAGUACCGGAGAGGAAAGCGGAAUUCCCCGUGUAGCGGUGAAAUGCGUAGAUAUGGGGAGGAACACCAGUGGCGAAGGCGGCUUUCUGGACGGUGUCUGACACUGAGGCGCGAAAGCCAGGGGAGCGAACGGGAUUAGAAACCCCGGUAGUCC